rnacentral:misc_RNA from 1 species
UUAUUGUUAUUGUCAAAGACGUUCAUGACUAUAUGUUUGUAGGUCCGGAGACCACGGUGCACAGGUGUGGGUAUAAAAAGUGCUCACGCACAUCUCUAAUGAUCCUUCCGCAGGUUCACCUACGGAAA